rnacentral:rRNA from 1 species
AGAGUUUGAUCCUGGCUCAGGACGAACGCUGGCGGUGUGCUUCACACAUGCAAGUCGAGCGAAUGAAGUAGGUAGCUUGCUACUUAUGGAUUUAGCGGCGGACGGGUGAGUAAUAUAUAGGAAUCUGCCUUAGAGCGGGGAACAACAGACCGAAAGGUUUGCUAAUGCCCCAUAGGUAUGCAGUCUUCGGAUUGUAUAUUAAAGGAGUAAUCCACUCUAAGAUGAGCCUGUAUCCGAUUAGCUUGUUGGCGGGGUAAUGGCCCACCAAGGCUACGAUCGGUAGUUGGUCUGAGAGGAUGAUCAGCCACAAUGGGACUGAGACACGGCCCAUACUCCUACGGGAGGCAGCAGUGGGGAAUUUUACACAAUGGGGGAAACCCUGAUGUAGCGACACCGCGUGAACGAAGAAGCCUUUUGGGGUGUAAAGUUCUGUCGGCUGGAACGAAAAAAAUGACGGUACCAGCAAAGGAAGCAUCGGCUAACUACGUGCCAGCAGCCGCGGUAAGACGUAGGAUGCGAGCGUUGUCCGGAUUUAUUGGGCGUAAAGAGUUCGUAGGCGGUUCGUUAAGUCUGAUGUUAAAGAUCGGGGCUCAACCUCGAAGGUGCAUUGGAUACUGGCGGACUUGAGUGCAGUAGAGGCGAGUGGAAUUCUCAGUGUAGCGGUGAAAUGCGUAGA